rnacentral:rRNA from 1 species
CCUACGGGAGGCUGCAGUGGGGAAUAUUGCACAAUGGGGGAAACCCUGAUGCAGCGAAGCCGCGUGAGUGAAGAAGUAUUUAGGUAUGUAAAGCUCUAUCAGCAGGGAAGAAAAAAGACGGUACCUGACUAAGAAGCCCCGGCUAACUACGUGCCAGCAGCCGCGGUACUACGUAGGGGGCACGCGUUAUCCGGAUGUACUGGGUGUAAAGGGAGCGUAGACGGUAUGGCAAGUCUGAAGUGAAAGGCCAGGGCUUAACCCUGGGACUGCUUUGGAAACUGUUAGACUAGAGUGCUGGAGAGGUAAGUGGAAUGCCUAGUGUAGCGGUGAAAUGCGUAGAUAUUAGGAGGAACACCAGUGGCGAAGGCGGCAUACUGGACAGUAACUGACGUUGAGGCUCGAAAGCGUGGGGAGCAAACAGGAUUAGAUACCCGGGUAGUC